rnacentral:rRNA from 1 species
GUCCACGCCGUAAACGAUGUCAACUAGCCGUUGGAUUCCUUGAGGAUUUAGUGGCGCAGCUAACGCAUUAAGUUGACCGCCUGGGGAGUACGGCCGCAAGGUUAAAACUCAAAUGAAUUGACGGGGGCCCGCACAAGCGGUGGAGCAUGUGGUUUAAUUCGAAGCAACGCGAAGAACCUUACCAGGCCUUGACAUCUACAGAACUUUCCAGAGAUGGAUGGGUGCCUUCGGGAACUGUAAGACAGGUGCUGCAUGGCUGUCGU